GAUGAACGCUGGCGGCGUGCCUAAUACAUGCAAGUCGAGCGAACAGACGAGGAGCUUGCUCCUCUGACGUUAGCGGCGGACGGGUGAGUAACACGUGGAUAACCUACCUAUAAGACUGGGAUAACUUCGGGAAACCGGAGCUAAUACCGGAUAAUAUAUUGAACCGCAUGGUUCAAUAGUGAAAGACGGUUUUGCUGUCACUUAUAGAUGGAUCCGCGCCGCAUUAGCUAGUUGGUAAGGUAACGGCUUACCAAGGCAACGAUGCGUAGCCGAGCUGAGAGGGUGAUCGGCCACACUGGAACUGAGACACGGUCCAGACUCCUACGGGUGGCAGCAGUAGGGAAUCUUCCGCAAUGGGCGAAAGCCUGACGGAGCAACGCCGCGUGAGUGAUGAAGGUCUUCGGAUCGUAAAACUCUGUUAUUAGGGAAGAACAAAUGUGUAAGUAACUAUGCACGUCUUGACGGUACCUAAUCAGAAAGCCACGGCUAACUACGUG
rnacentral:rRNA from 1 species